rnacentral:lncRNA from 1 species
UAGUCUAUGCCUUGAUAGAUUUUGUCCCUUGAUUUAAUUCCAUCUUCUUUAGAUCCCUAGAGCAAAAUUAUAAAUAACGAUACCUGGAAUACUUAUCCUGGUGAAAUGCUACAAUGAGGUGUUUUAUCUGUGCGCUUGCGGAUAGAAUAGAUUAUUUUCUAGUGAGCCUUUACAUUUAUAAAUACCUUUGUACACUCUGGCGCCAUGCUAGGGAUGACAACCUAGUAUCUAAGUGGUGUUAGCUAGUGUCAACACUAACCCCAUUGGAGAAGAAUCAUUAUGAGUUGUAGAGGUGUCCCUCGAAGGGAUGACCUCUCUUAUCUAGAGAAAUAGGGCUAGACAUUCCAAUGUAGUAGCUAAGUUCAAGUCGGGAGUUUGGGAGAGCGGAGCUACGCUUC